UAUUCUGUAUCAAGAAAUUGACUAUAUAAAUGAAGGACAAAAUGCUGACAGAUUCCGACGAGAUUUUAGAAACAUAAAGUGGGUUCGGAUACCUUUAUCAAAAUAGACCUGGUCGAUACAUUAACUUCUCGUGGCUAUGAUCGACUACGAAUCUCAUCACGUGCUACUGAGGCUUACCUGAUUCUGGUGCACAAUCUCAUAAGUGUAAGGGAUUUUAAUAUUGCGAAAACAGAAGCUGAUAUCAGUUCUUAUGCUGGUUAUAUUGGCUCUUCAUUCAUGCUUGAGAGAUGAUUGACAUCUGUAUUAUGGGGAGUUGUUGCUGAUCGUUGUGGUAGAAAGCCUGUAAUGUUUACAGGGGUUGUGGUGGUGUAAGUAUAUCUUUUAAUGGAUUGGUAAUUUCUUUAAGUUAUUUGUUCAGCUUCAUAUAAAUCUCAGUGCUUACAUGAUUUCAGUGUCAUUUUCUCCUCACUAUUUGGCCUUAGUACUAGUUUUUGGAUGGCUCUUACUACAAGAUAUCUUCUUGGAAGUUUAAAUGGUAUGCUUGGACCAGUGAAGGUAUCAUAUUUUUAACCCCAAAUAGUUAGCACUUUCUAUAUUUCCUAGUCAAUCUAGUUCAAAUCUCCGGUUGUACAUGUUUGUUUGCUAACUCCUUUAUUUAACAGGCCUAUUGCCACUGAAAUUUUUCGAGAUGAACACCAUGCUCUGGACUAUCAACAGUUAGCAUCAUCAUCCCUUUUAUAUUAUUACUUCUUAGAACCCAAGAAUAAUUUAGUGUGAUUUGAAUUUAGGUCAGUGCAGCUUGGGGCACAGGUUUAAUCAUUGGCCCAACAUUGGGAGGCUAUUUGGCUCAGCAAUUGGUCGAUCUGCAGAGUUGAAAUCAAAUAUUUGCAAUAGCACAAGACCAGCCAUUCCGUUUUCCAUCUACCUUUGCCUUUGUUCUCAGGGCUUUUUCAACACUUGAAGGUAUGCAUCUUCUCAAUUGGGAAAUUCUCCUACAAAAAAAUUGAACAUGUCCCAGUUUUAUUAUUAGGCAAAAUCUCAUAAUAUAAUCUUCAAUUUUUUUCUUUUUCCUCUGAUAUAACUAUGUUAGCGUAGUAGAAAUUAGAGGUAAUUUUUUUUCUGGGUUGUGUUCAUUUUAGGUCUGUAUGUGUUUGUAAAUAUUUAGCUCAUAGGUAGUGUAAAUAGCCAUAUUGUUUCAGUUUGUAAAUAUUUGCUUCUAGUUUGUAAAUACUUAAUAAGAAAUAUAGUUCAGGAUCAUCUUCAAUAGGCGCGUGGAGAGGUCCACAAGUGAUGUGGAGGGUUCCGAACGAUAAUGUCAGCGUCGACGUCGAUGGAGUAGAGAGAUUUUUCGUGGGGCACGAGACAUUGUACCUCCCGUAUUUGCGCAUCAAAUGCAGCUUCGACGACGCCGGCGCAAAGGGCUCGCCCCGUGAAUUGGUAUUUAGUGAACGAGGCGACAAAUGAACUGUGUCGGGGUAGCUGAGGUGCGGCGGCGAAGGUGAUGGUGCAGUCAAAGUGGUUGGCGGUUUAAUCUCAUGAUGAGAUUGAGAGAGAGAAAGAGGGAUCAAUGUCGUCUUCGUAAUGAUCUUAUAGCAAUGAUCUCAUAACAGCGCCCACGACACGUAAAGGGUGAUGGACAUAUAUGUUUGUUGAGUUUAGAACAGGAAGAUUUUGGAGUCAGAUAUGGUGACUCCACAGGAAAGGAAGAAGGGCUAAGGAAGUGGAGGAGCACCUUGUCGAAUCUGAUACCACAAAUAAACUCUUUUGUUAUUGUGAUCAGUGCUGGAAUGAAUGGUGCCCUAACGGUAAGACUGUGAUAGUCAUCUACAGAGAUAAAGGUUUUAUAUUUGGAUUUUGUGAAUUCCUCUACUUCAAAGCGCUGCCUGUGAAAGGCAACCAAAGAAACAAAAUAAAAUUCAAAGAAAGGGAUUUAACCGUGAGAGAAAAAGUUGCGGUAUUUCAGGAAAAGCACAGGAGAGAGAAAAAAAAAGUAAAGAUUCCUUUGCCACGUCAGCUGAGAGUUAACUCUAUUUCUGCCCAUUUAAUGGAAGGGACUCAAUUCAUACAAUUUUGACAACUUUAAGACCUAAUGUCUACAUUUUUAAAACUGGGUAUUAAACUGAAAAUUACCACUAAACAUAGGGACCAAACAAGUAUUUAAACCUAAAAAUUUUAGCUUCUUUAAGUGUUGUUUCACGUGUUAGUAAUUCUGUUUUGGUUUUCUUAAUUAUUGUUUUAAUCAUUAGUAAUUGUUUAGUUUUCAUAUCUUGUUUUAGUCUUUGUAAAUAUGCAUUUGCUUUAGAAUUCUUUUUUUUUUUUUUUAUAGGAUCUGUUUAGGCUGCUAUUAUGAAUAUUACAGCAUCUUUACUUUUUGAUCUGUUUUAGAUAGUUUUUAGGUUGUUAAGGUUAGAUUUCUUUUAGAUUUGUUUCUUUAAAUAAAACUGAUUGUAAAAUUUUUUCUGACUUUAUUUCCCUGUUUUAGAUUUUCACAUUAGGUUUGGUUCUAUGUCCUUGAAGCUGGUGUAUAGGUUAUAUUAUUCAUUAUGAGAUUUCAUGCUAUAAACUUUGUUAAUAAAAUACUGUGUAGGAUUAUGGCAAGUGUCCAAUUACUGGUGAACCACUUACUAUGGAUGAUAUUUUACCAAUCAAGAGAGGGAAGGUAUGGUGGUAUUCUUCUAAUAUUGAGUGUGGAUUUUGUUCUGAGACUAAGCCCUCUUGUUGUGCUUUACUUUUCAAAGAGUUUACUUGCAGUGUAUUGGUCAACUCAGAUGGGCCUGUCUCUUAAUAUUGGUUGGUUUAACUUGUCAAUGUUGGUCAAGUUUUGUGUCUUGAAUAAAGUAGUCUUGACAACUGAUCAUUCUUGUGCUGCAGAUGUCUCAGCUAGGGCAUUUUAUGAGGCCAUUCUUGUCCUUGACUUCGUUUUGAAGAAUUUUAGACUCGAUCUUCGCAGGCCUUUGCCCGAUCAGGACCGAAUUAAGGUUUGGAUUAAUGAGAAAUAUAAAGCUAGUGCCAUCUUACAAUUUGAAUAGCAAUAAGGAUUUUAGCUGGAUCAAGUGUACAGGCCUAAGACAGCGAAGUGCUUAUUACCAUAUAAAUCUUUUAUGCAAUCUAUUUGGAUAAAGAGGUAAGUGAUAGCAACUUGAUUAUAUAUGUUGCAGGAUGGACCAGAUCUGGAUACGUGAUUGUUUAUGCUGCGUUUGAACACGGUUUUUGAUCAAGAGUUCGUACAGCAGUGGGCUGUAGCAGUAGUGUACCAGCAGCGGGCUAUAACAGUAUUUGAGCCGUAGCAUAGGAUUACAAUUUCUUCUUUUUUUUGUUUGUAAUUGUAUUUGUUUUGAUAAUCUGAUUUGUAAUGGGUUUGUUAGUC